AGCAGGAGGAGCAGCAGAGGGAGAAGGAGAAGCAGGAAGCCUACUAAGCGAGAAGCCCAAUGCAGAACUCGAUCCCAGGAUCCUAAGAUCAUGACCUGAGCCACAGGCAGACACUUAACUGACAGAACCACGCAGCAAUGGAAUUUUAACAGGCUCUAUUCCUUGCCUCAAACCUUCAAAUUCAUGUUACUAUUAAUGCUGUCAACAGCAUGAAUUACAAAUAAAGAUAAAUGGUGAUAAACACAACGUUUCUUAUGGUGAAUCUUUUGCUUUAACCUCUAAAAUUAAAAAUAGCCUCACACUAUAACCUUGGUUAUGAUCACUGUGCAGAGUUACAAUAAGA
rnacentral:lncRNA from 1 species